AAGAAAGUGGCAGAGUGGUUAUGUGAUUGGCUUGAAACCAGUUUAUGGGGGUUCAAUUCCCUCCUUUCUCG
rnacentral:tRNA from 1 species